rnacentral:rRNA from 1 species
AGUGGCGGACGGGUGAGUAACGCGUGAGAAUCUGCCUUGGGGUCGGGGACAACCACUGGAAACGGUGGCUAAUACCGGAUAAGCCGAUUAGUGAAAGAUUUAUUGCCCGAAGAGGAGCUCGCGUCUGAUUAGCUAGUUGGUGAGGUAAGAGCUCACCAAGGCAGCGAUCAGUAGCUGGUCUGAGAGGACGAUCAGCCACACUGGGACUGAGACACGGCCCAGACUCCUACGGGAGGCAGCAGUGGGGAAUUUUCCGCAAUGGGCGAAAGCCUGACGGAGCAAGACCGCGUGAGGGAGGAAGGCUCUUGGGUUGUAAACCUCUUUUCUCAGGGAAGAAGCUCUGACGGUACCUGAGGAAUCAGCCUCGGCUAACUCCGUGCCAGCAGCCGCGGUAAUACGGAGGAGGCAAGCGUUAUCCGGAAUUAUUGGGCGUAAAGCGUCCGCAGGUGGCGAUUCAAGUCUGCUGUCAAAGCACGGGGCUUAACUCCGUAAAGGCAGUGGAAACUGAAUAGCUAGAGUGCCGUAGGGGUAGAGGGAAUUCCCGGUGUAGCGGUGAAAUGCGUAGAGAUCGGGAAGAACAUCGGUGGCGAAAGCGCUCUACUGGACGGCAACUGACACUCAGGGACGAAAGCUAGGGGAGCGAAUGGGAUUAGAUACCCC